AGAGCUAGAGGUUAAGGACAGUGCCUUAGGGACACCCAGAGGCAAGCGGAAGGAAGAUGAAAUGAAACUGGCUAAAGAGUCUGAGAGGGAUGAGCCACAAAGACAAGAGGGGCGUGCACCAGGAGAGCCGUACCCAGAACACAGAGCCUCCAGGGGAGGCUCCCACGGGGGGCACAGCGCUCAAUUACACUGGUCCUCUGAAAGAAAGCCGUGGCAACCCAGUUCUCCAACCCUUUUAAUACAAGCUCUUGCUUGAUCUCAAAGUUGGACUAAAAAGAAGGAAAAACAUUAUAAAAGCAAUUUCACAAGAGUCUAACCCCGCCCCAACAAUUUCCUUAAAAACACAUUCUGCCUUACCAGAGCCCACACCGUAACUAGCCUAACUAUUCAAUGUUUCUUUCCAAAGAAAGAAACCACCCUUCCUCUCCUCUCAAAUCACUUUCUUCCUCUCAUUUUAAAAUAGCUAAGGCCUGGUGUCUGCUUCUGUAAAGAUUACAGCCCCCAAAAAAACCCUACGGAGCAGCUCUACUCUGUUAACACGUGGGAUCUGGAGUCGGAACAGACUUUAAGGCGACUGACGACAACACUGGGUGUGUAGCUGAGAAGUGAUAACACUGCAGCUGUGAAUAUAUUAUCACCUCUCCCAUCGGAUUUGAGGUACAUCACUGUCUUCCCACCUUCCUGGCUCUGCAGAUUUGAUAUCCUAAAUUAAGGCUGCCAGCUGCCUGUACAAUGGCCCUGAUUGUACCUGACUCCAUGGACUAUCCACCAGCCCUCCACAUCUCCUCCCAGCCUUGUGAGCAGACCCGAGACAUACCUGGUAUAUGAGUCCCUUUCAGACUCAGAGCCCAGCCCCGUCCAGAUGAGAAACUGGAACCUGCAGAAGAUAAAUAUCCUGCCAAUGGCUACACAGCCAGUGAGUGGAGGAGCCAAGAUUGAAGCCCUGUCUGCUGCUGGCACCUGAGUGAUAGAGCACCCCCUAGGAUCAGUGGAGAGCCUUGUGACCUGAGGCUGGCGGGGAGGGGGGUGGCUGUUAAGGGCACACUAUCAGACUCACAGCGACCCUACGUACAACAGAACGGAACACCUCCAAGGUCCUGCACAAUCCUAACAAUGUUUGAGCCAACUGUUACAGCCACUAUAUCGAUCCAUCUCAUCAAAAGCCUUCUUCGUUUUCACUGACCCUCUAUCUUACCAAGUAUGAUGUCCCUAUCCAGGAACCGGUCCCUCCUGAUAACAUGUCCAAAGUACAUGAGACCAAGUCUCUCCAUCCUCACUUCCAAGGAGCACUCUGGCUGUACUUCUUUCAUGAGAGACUUGUUAGUUCAUCUGGCAACGCAUGGUAUAUUCACUUCUCGGUCAACACCAUAAUUCGAAGGCAUCAAUUCUUCUUCGGUCUUCCUUAUUCACAGUCCAGAUUUUGCAUGCAUAUGAGGAAUUUGAAAAUAUUAAGGCUUGGACCGGGUGCACCAUAGUCCUCGAAGUGACAUCUUUGCUUUUCAACACUUUAAAGAGGUCUUUUGCAGCAGAUUUGCCCAGUGCAAUAUGUCAUUUGAUUUCUUGACUACUGCUUCCAUGGGUGAUUAUGGAUCCAAGUAAAAUGAAAUCCUUGACAACUUCGAUCUUUUCUCCAAUUACCAGGGUAUUGCAUAUUGCUCCAGUUGUGAGAAUUUCUUAUUAUUUACUUUUAAUUAUUGUGCUUUAAGCAAAAAUUUACAGUUCAGGUCAGUUUCUCAUACCACAAUUUAUACACACAUUGUUAUGUGACCGUAGUUACUCUCCCUAUAAUGUGACAGCACACUCCUCCUUUCCACCCUGUAUUUUCCACGUCUGUUCAACCAGCUCCUGUCCCCUUCUGCCUUCACAUCUCCCCUCUGGACGUGAGCUGUCCAUUUAGUCUCACGUAUCUACUUGAGCUAAGAAUCACACUCUUCACAAGUUUCAUUUUAUGUCUUAUAGUCCAGUCUAAUCUUUGUCUGAAGAGUUGGCUUCAGGAAUGGUUUCAGUUUGGGGUAACAGAGAAUCCAGGGGCCAUGUCUUCCAGGGUCCCUCCAGUCUCAGUAAGACCAUUAAGUCUGGUCUUUUUACUAGAAUUUGAGGUCUGCAACCCACUUUUCUCCUGCUCCAUCAAGGACUCUCUGUUGCAUCCCCUGUAAGGGCAGUCAUCGGUGGUAGCUGGGCACCAUCUAGUUCUUCCGGUCUCAGGCUGACUGGGUCUCUGGUUUAUGUGGUCCUUUCUGUCUCUUGGGCUAAUAUUUUCCUUGGGUCUUUGGUAUUCUUCAUUCUCCUUUGCUCCAGGUGUGUUGGGACCAAUUGAUGCAUCUUAAAUGGUCGCUUGCUAGCUUUUAAGACCCCACACACCACUUACCAAAGUGGGAUGCAGAACAUUUCUUAACUUUGUUGUGCCAAUGUCCCUGAAAUAAUGGUCCCCAGACCCCUGCCCCUGCUACUCUGUCCCUCAAAGUGUUUGGUUGUAUUCAAUAAACUUCUUAGCUUUUGUUUAGUCCUGUUGUGCUGACUUCCUCUGUGUUGUGUGUUGUCCUUCCCUUCACCUAAGCUAAUUUUGGCUACAAUCUAGUUAGGGAAUCCCCCUCUCCCUUCCUCCCCACCAUCAAAGAAUGUUUUCUUCUGUGUUUAAACCUUUUCUUGAGUUCUUAUAAUAGUGGUAUCAGACAAUUUUUCCCGUCUGUGACUAAUUUCACUCAGCAUAAUGCCUUUCAGAUUCAUCCAUAUUAUGAGAUGUUUCACGGACGCAUCAUUGUUCUUUAUCAUUGCACAGCAUAAUGCCUUUCAGAUUCAUCCAUAUUAUGAGAUGUUUUAUGGACUCAUCAUUGCUCUUUAUCAUUGCAUAGUAUUCCACAAAAAAAAAAAAAAAUCAUCAUUGCAUUGUAUUCCAUAGUGUGACUAUAAUUUGUUUAUCCAUUCAUUCCUUGGUGGGCACCUAGACUAUUUCCAUCUUUUUGUUAUUAUGAACAGUGCUGUAAUGAACAUGGGUAGCAUAUAUCUACUCUUGUGAGGGCUCUUAUUUCUCUAGAAUACAUUCAAGGAGUGGAACUGCUAAAUCGUCUGGUAGUUCUAGUUUUUUAAGGAAGUACCAAAUUGAUUUCCAAAGUGGUGGUACCAUUUUACCUUCACACCAGCAGUGUACAAGUGUUCCAGUCUCUCCACAACCUCUCCAACAUUUAUCAUUUUGUGAUUUUUGGAUUAAUGCUGCCCUUGUUGGGGUGAGAUGGUAUCUCAUUGUAGUUUUGAUUUGCAUUUCUCUAAUGGCCAAUGAUUGUGAGCAUUUCCUCAGGUAUCUGUUAGCAGCCUGAAUGUCUUCUUUGGUGAAGUGCCUAUUCAUAUUCUUUGCUCAUUUUAUAACUGGGUUGUCUUUUUCUCGUUGAGGUUUUGCAGUUUUUAUAGACUUUAGAGAUCACACACUGAUCGGAUUUGUCGUAGCCAAAAAUUUUUUCCCAGUCUGAAAGUUGUCUUUUUGCUCUUUUGGUGAAGUCUUUUGAUGAGCGUUAAGUGUUUGAUUUUUAGGAGCUCCAGGUACCUAGUUUCGCUUCUGGUGUUUGUGCAUUGUUAGUAAUGUUUUGUAUACUGUUUAUGCCAUGGAUUACGGCUUCUAGCAUUGUCGCUAUUUUUUCAUCCAUGAUCUUUAUCAUUUUAGAUUUUGUAUUUAGGUCUUUGAUCCAUUUUGAGUUAGUUUUUGUGCAUGAAAAUUUUUUUUUUUUUUAUGAGGUAUGGGUCUUGUUUCAUUUUUUUUGCAGACGAAUAUCCAGUUACGCCAGCACCAUUUGCUAAAAAGGCUGUCUUCUCCCCAGUGAACAGACUUUGGGCCCUCAUCAAAUACCAGCUGCUCCUAGGUGGGUAAAUGUAUUUCUGGAUUCUCAGUACUGUUCCACUGGUCUAUGCAUCUGUUGUACUAGUACCAGGCUGUCUUGACUACCAUGUCAGUAUAAUAGGUUCUAAAAUCAGGUAGUGUGAGACCUCCCACUUUUUUCCUCUUUUUUGGUAAUGCUUUACUUAUCUGGGGCCUCUUAAUGAAGCUGGUGAUUUGUUUCUCCAUCUCAUUAAAAAAUGCACUGGAAUUUGGAUCAAGAUUGCAUUGUAUCUGUAGAUUGAUUUGGGUAGACUAGACAUUUUCACAAUGUUGAGUCUUCCUAUCCAUGAGCAAGGCAUGUUUUUCCACAAGGUCUCUUUUGGUUUCUUGCAGUAGUGUCUUGUAGUUUUCUUUGUAUGUGUCUUUUAUGUCUCUGGUUAGAUUUAUUCCUAAGUAAUUUAUCUUCUUGGGGGCUCUUGUAAAUGGUAUUGAUUUGGUGAUUUCCUCUUCUAAGUUCUCCUUGUUGGUGUAGAGGAAUCCAACUGAUUUUUGUAUGUUUAUGUUGUAUCCUGAUAUUCUGCUGAACUCUUCUAUUAGUUCCAGUAUUUUCCUGUGGAUUCUUUGGUGUUUUUUGUGUAUAAGAUCAUAUCAUCUGCAAAUAGGAAUACUUUUACUUCUUCCUUACCAAUUUGGACGCACUUUAUUUAUCUAGCCUAACUGCUCUGGCUAGGACAGUGUUGAAUAAGAGUGGUGAUAAAGGGCAUCCUUGUCUGGUUCCCAUUCUUAAGGGGAAAGCUUUCAGACUCUCCCUUUAGGAUGAUGUUGAUUGUAUAAAUGCCCUUUAUUAUGUUGAGGAAUUUCCCCUCUAUUUCUAUUUUGCUGAGAGUUUUUAUCAUGAAUGUGUGCUGGACUUUGUCAAAUGCCUUUUCUGCAUCAAUUGAUAAGAUCAUGUGGUUCCUGUCUUUUGUUUUAUUUAUGUGAUGGAUUACAUUCAUUGUUUUCCUAAUGUUGAACCAUCCCUGUAUUUCUGGUAUGGAUCUCCCACCUGGUCAUGGUGAAUUAUUUUUUUUGUAUGUUGUUAAAUUCUCUUGGCAAGAAUUUCGUUGAGGAUUUUUAGCAUCUAAGUUCAUGAGGGAUAUUGGUCUGUAAUUUUCUUUUUUUGUGAUGUCUUUACCUGGUUUUGGUAUCAGAGUUAUGCUGGCUUCACAGAAUUAUUAUGGGAGUAUUCCAUCCUUUUCUAUGCUCUGAAAUGCCUUUAAUAGUAGUGGUGUUAACGCUUCUCUGAAUGUUAGGAAGAAUUCUCCAGUGAACCCAUCAGGGCCAGGGCUUUUUUUUGUUGGGAGUAUUUUAAUAACCUUUUCAAUCUCUUCUUUUGUUAUAGAUUUAUUUAGUUGUUCUACAUCUGUUUGUGUUAGUUUAGGUAGGUAGUGUUUUUCUAGAAAUUUGACAUUUUCUCUAGGUUUUCAAAUUUGUUAGAGUACAAUUUUUCAUAGUAUUCUGUUAUGAUUCUUUUAAUUUCAGCUGGGUCUGUUGUGAUAUCGCCCAUCUCAUUUCUUAUACUGGUUAUUUACUUCCUCUCCUGUUUUUCUUUUGUCAGUAGGGCCAAUGGUUUAUCAAUUUCAUUGAUCUUUUCAAAGAACCAGCUUUUGGUCUUGUUAACUCCUUCAAUUGUUUUUCUAUUCUGUAUUUAAUUCUGAUCUAAUUUUUAUUUUUUCCUUUCUUCUGGUAUCCAAGGGCUUCUUUGGCUGCUCUCUUUCUAUUUGUUCGAGUUAUAGGGUUAAUGUUUUGAUUUUGGCCCUUUCUUCUUUUUGGAUGUGUGCUUUUAUUUUUAUAUAUCAACCUCUGAGCACUGCUUUUGCUGUGUCCCAAAGGUUCUAGCAGUAUGUGUUUUCAUUCUCAUUUGAUUCUGUGAAUUUUAUUCCAUCCUUUAUUUCUUCUGUAACCCAAUACCUUUUCAGCAAGGUGUUGUUCAGUUUCCUUGUGCUUUGGUUUUCUGUUUUUUUUUUUUUUUUCCUUGCUUUUUCUGUUAUGGAUUUCUACUUUAAUGGCUUUAUGGUCAGAAAAGAUCCUUUGUAAUAUUUUGAUGUUUUGGAGUCUCUUAAGGCUUGCUUUGUGGCCUAAUACGUGGUCUACUCUGGAGAAUGUCUCAUGUGGACUGGAAAAGACAGUAUACUUGGCUGCUGUUGGGUGGGGUGUUCUGUACAUGUCUAUGAGGUUAAAUUGGUAGAUUGUAGCAUUUAGAUCUUCCGUGUCUUUACUGAGCUUCUUUCUGGAUGUUCUGUCCUUCAUUAAAAGUGGUAUGUUGAAGUCUCCUACUAUUAUUCUGGAGCUGUCUAUCUCAGUUUUCAAUGUUGUUAGGGUUUGCUUUACGUAUGUUGGAGCCCUGUCGCUGGGUACAUAAAUAUUUAUUGUGGUUACGUCCUCCUGGUGUAUCGACCCUUUAAUCAUUAUAUAGUGUCCUUCCUUAUCCUUUGUGGUGGAUUUUACUUUAAAGUCUAUUUUGUUAGAAACAAAUAUUGCCACUCCUGCUCUUUUUUGAUUAUUGUUUGCUUGAUAUUUUUUUUCCAUCCUUUGAGUUUUAGUUUGUGUCUUUAAGUCUAAGGUGUGUCUCUUGUAGGCAGCAUAUAGAUGGAUCAUGUCUUUUUUUAUCUAUUCUGGACUCCUUGUCUCCUUAUUGGUGCAUUUAAUCCAUUUACAGUCAGCAUAAUUAUUGAUAGGUAUGAGUUUGGUGCUGUCAUUCUGCUGUAUUUUGUGUGUGUGUGUAUGUAUUGACAGUUUCUUUGUUCCACUUAAUUUUCUGUGCUGUUUUUCUUUAUGUAUUUUCUUUCCAUCUCUUUCAUUGUUGUUGAUUUUGUAUUAGCUGAGUCUUUAUGUUUUUCUUGCUUUUUAUUUUGAUGUGUGGGGCUGUUAGUUUCCUUUGUGGUUACCUUAAUAUUUACCCCUACUUUUCUAAGUUUAAACCAAUCUUUUACUUCUUUAUGCCACCUUGACUUCUUUUCCAUAUGAAGGUUCUAUGACUACAUUACUUAGUCCCUCUUUUUGUUUUACUGUUGUCAUCUUUUACAUAUUGACAUUUCUGUUUCCCUAUUUUCAGUGUUUUAGCUUUGACUUAUUUUUGUGGCUUCCUUAUCUGGGUUAAUAUCUGGUUUUCUGUUCUGUGUUCUAGUCUUGAGUUGUUACCUGAUGGUAUUGAUUUUCUAACUGGAGGACUCCCCUUAGUAUUUCUUGUCAUUCUGGUUUGGUGUUUACAAAUUCCCUAAACUUCUGUUUAUCUGGAAACGCUCUAACUUCUCCAACAUAUUUGAAAGACAAUUUUGCUGGAUACACAAUUCUUGGCUAGCAAUUUUCUUCCUUCAUAUGUGUCAUCCCAUUGCCUUCUUGUCUGCACUGUUUCUGCUGGGUAGUCCAAGCCUUAGUCGUAUUCACUCUUCUUUGUAGAUGACUUUCUGUUUAUCCCUAACCACUCUUAAAACUAUCUUUGGUUUUGGCAAGUUUGAUUAUAAUGACUUGGUGACUUUCUUUUGGGAUCUUCCUUGUGUAAGGCUCAAUCAGCAUCUUGGAUAAAUAUCUUCUCAUCUUUCACGAUAUCAGGAAGUUUUCUGCUAACAAAUCUUCAACAAUUCUCUCUGUAUUUUCUGUUAUUUCCCCACCUCAUUCUCGCACUCCAAUCACUUGCAGGUUAUUCCUCUUGAUAGAGUCCCACGUAAUUCUCAGGAUUUCUUCAUUUUUUAAAUUGUCUUAUCUUCUUUUUCCUCAAAUAAGUUGGUGUCAAGUGCUAUAUCAUCAAUCUCAUUAGUUCUGACUUCUACUGCCUCAAUUCUGCUCCUGAGACUUUCUACUGAGUUGUACAAUUCUGAAAUCUUAUUGUUAAUCUUCCGGAUUUCUGUUUGUUGUCUCUCUAUGGAUUCUUGCAGCCUAUUAAAUUUGUCCCUAUACUCUUCUAUAAUCUUCUUAAGUUCCUCUAUUGCUUAGCCUGUGUUUUCCUUGACUUAUUAUAUAUUUUGCCCGAUUCUCCUUCCCAAUCUCUUGAAGAAUUCUGAUAGUAAUCUUUUGUAUUAUAUUUCCGGUAAUUCCAGGAAUUUAUCAUCCUUUGGUAGAUUCCUUGAUUCUUUGUUUUGGGAGCCUGCUGAAGCCAUCACAGUCUGCCUCUUUAUGUGAUUUGAUAUUGACUGUUUUCUCUGAGCCAUCAAUAAAAAAAAAAAAUUUUUUUUUAAUCAAUAACUUAUUAUAUUUACUUAUUUUAUGUUUGCUUACUGUGUCCUAGCUUCUUCUUUUGUUUUGAUAUGCCUAAAUAGUCUGCUCAUGUGAGCUAGUUUAAUUAUUGGUGCCUCUGAAGCACUAAUGUCCUGUCACCAGGUGGUGAGAGCUGUUACUAGGUGUAUGAGCCCAGGAGUCCAUUACUUUUCUUGUAUGGAUUCAGCUCAGAUGUCUAGGUAGUUGGUCACCACAUGUGUGGUGCAGACUGUCGCCUACAAUCCUAGAUGGGCAGGGGUGAUUGGUGUAGGCACAGGUAUCUGGCUGCAGUAGUGCAACACGUGCUGAGUAAGGCAGGGGGCAGAUGGGUUCCCCUGAGUGUCUGGAAAGAAAGCAUGUCCUGUUCCCUAGAGCACGGAGGUGAGUGGGUUUUGCAGCCAGACUAUGGGCACACAAUGCUAUUGGCUGUAAGGACUGAGAGGCACCACUCAUCCUCAGACCCUAUUGCAGGCAGUUAGGUGGUGUGGGUAGAGUCACCAGUCCUCAGGCCCCUGAUGUAGGUUGGUGAGGACCUUGCUUAAUAGGCAGAGUAGUGUCAAAUGUCACAAACCUGCCUUUCUACCAUAUAGCUGAUACAGUCGAAGUUAGGCUUCAGGUAUAUACCUUGUUGUACUGUGCUAAUGAAGGCCUGCACUGUUGAAAUAGGCCCACACUAGUUUAUACAGGGGUGAAAGGCAUUCAAAGCCCACGGACUCCUUACACCAGUGCCUAGGCAAAGGAGCUGUGCCUGCCCUGAGUUUCUGGUUUAGGGGAGUUGGCUGAUCAUUUUUUUCUGUUUAUUAAUUUGUUCCCUCUCCAUGGCCGGGAGAAUGGCUCAGAGUGCAUAACCAGUCCUACUUCUGGAACCAGGGGACACAGCAAUCUCUGAAGCUGACACGGGACCCAGUGCAGAGCGGGGAGGGGGAAGAUAAAUGGGAGAAAGGUUUUUUCCAAAGGAGUGUUUUUUGAUCUGUGCAGUAAGUUAGAUGCAUGUACUUACUUUUCCCUAUUGAGGGCUUCUGGAGGGUUAAACAGACUCUACCGCUUGGUCUCUCCCGAUGUGGAAAACGCAUCCCAAGUGCCACUGUUUGCUGAUCCAGCCUACAGAAUGCCAGUUCCUGCUGGAUCAGGUGUGGCAACUUCUCGUGCUUCUGAACUGACUCUCCCUCCCCCUGCCACUCAGUCCGAUUCCUCAACUUUUCCUUUGAUGUUCAGGGCUCCUAGAUUAUCAUAUGUAAUCGAUUUAUCUGUUUUUUUCUGGUCUUUGUUGUAAGAGGGAUCACAGGAAGUAUCUGACUACUACGCCAUCUUGGCCCUGACGCCCUGAUUUUUUUAAGUUGAGGUGCAAUCCAUACUGAGGCUUUGCUCUUCAUCAGUAAGUGCUUCAAGUCCUCUUCGUUUUGACAAAGUUGUGUCAUCUGCAUAUCGCAAGUUGUUAAUGAGUCUUCCACCAAACCUGAUGCCCUGUUUUUCUUCAUUCAGUCCAGCUUCUUGGAUUAUCUACUCAGACUGAGAAGUCUGUUGAAAUACUUUGACCCACACCUUUCCUGAUUUUAAACCACACAGUAUCCUCUUGUUCUGUUCAAACUGCCUCUUGGUCUAUGUACAGGUUCCUCAUGAGUAAAAUUAAGUAUUCCAGAAUUCCCAUUAGUUGCAAUGUUAUCCAUAAUUUGUUAUGAUCCACACAGUUGAAUGCCUUUGCAUCAUCAAUAAAACACAGGUAAACAUCUUUCUGGUAUUUUUAGCCAAGAUCCAUUUAACAUAAGGAAUGAUAUCCCACAUUCCAAGUACUCUUCUGAAUCCAACUUGAUGUGCUGAAUCCUACUGAUGCACUGCGACAACCGUUUUUGAAUUAUCUUCAGCUAAAUUUUACUUGUGUGUGAUAUUAAUGAUAAUACUGUUUAAUAAUUUCCACAUUCGGUUGGAUCAUCUUUCUUGGAACGGGCACAAAUAUGGAUCUCUUCCAGUUGGCUGGCCAGGGAACUAUCUUCCAAAUUUCUUUGCAUAGAUGAGCGAGCACCUCCAGCAUUGCAUCUGUUUGUUGAAACAUCUCAAUUGGUAUUCCGUCAAUUCCUGGUGCCUUGUUUUUCUCCAAUACCUUCAGUGCAGCUUGGACUUCUUCCUUCCUUCAAUAUCAUCGGCUCUAGAUCAUAUGCUACAUUAAAUAUAUAUGUGUGUGUGUGUGUAUACAUACAUACACACACACACACACAUAUAUAUACUUUUAGUUUUUUUAGUUUUACUUUUGAGUUUUUUUUCCGACGGCAGCAGGUUUUCUUUUCUUUUUUUUUUAUUUAUAUAUAUACUUUUAGAAACACUGGAUUAAGGUUGUUGUUCCUAUUUCUCAACCAAUAUGAGAAAUGCUUUUAAUUAAAUGCCACAAAUAGUUGUACUUCUAGGAACUAAUUUAUUGUUUCCUCCACUGUAAUUACCCCUACCCAAAGGCUAUUAAAUGGUGUGAUUAUAGCUGGAUUUCCCUUUUUGCUUUGGUUGCCAGGAAUAUCAGGCUCAAACCUGCUGCCACCUAGAGCAAUGGCGUGUGACACCAUGGUUGCAUGUAAGCAUUUUAUUUCUUUUUCUUCCUGGUCUUCAAAUUCUAAUUGUAAUUCCACAAGAGUGUACUGCUCAGAUACCACCUCUAACAACUGAGUCAGCUUCAACUCAUGACAACCUUAUGUAUAACAGAACAAAAGGUUGCAAGGUCUAGUACCACCAUCAUGAUCAUUGGUAGGUUCAAAGAAAAAAAUUUCAAACAGGGCACAAAAUCAUUAUAUCUAAAUACCUCAAGAGUAAGCCACCAGACAGGUAGGUUAAGUCCUGAGUACCAAGAUAAGUCUCCUUCCACCUAAUUACGUCCUCUCUUGGAAAUGAACUCUACAGAUGAACUGAUAAGACCAUGAUACUAUUACCAAAGCUUGUGUGUCCAGAUGUAAGAUAAACACAAGUUAGGAUAAAAUGGCCCCAGCUCACAUGUGGCAUUAAGAAACCUUCCAGAAGAAUAAGAAAGUCUAAUUUUGGCAUCAGGGCAGUGGCAGAAACAGCCACACAAAUUACAAGUUCAUUGACAUCUACCUACCCACACUACCUCACUGUUCUUAUCCAGCUUUCAAUCCUUCCACCAUUAGUCCAGUCUCAGGCACCAUAUACCCUCAGCUUCAUCUGACACACCGUGAUCGCAGGACCAACAGAUGUGACCGUUGAAGGAAAUAUGGCGGGUGCUCUAGCUCCUUCCCUUCAUUUUACUGGGAGAAAGCUGAAACACAGAGGAAGGAAAUAAUACACCUAGAAUCACAUACCUAUAAGUGACAGGGAUGUCUCCUGACGCCCAGUCCACUGUUAUCUCUACCACUGUUAGAAGAAAAAGUAGACACUAUCACUGCUUGGUCUCACUUCCUCAUGUGUUAAACUUUCUACCACUUGUUGGAUGCAUGUUACCCUGUUCAAGGUGCUGACAAUGCUACACCAGCAGGUACUAAAAUAUGAACCAACAGGUAUACCCACAGUUGAACAAAGAAAUGGAAACGUUAACAUAAGUGCACAAUGCGACAGCAGCACCCCUUCCUUCUAGAGACACAUGUGGGAUCCUAGAGAAGGGACGGGUAAGGACAGGA